CCCGCCCCGGCCCGGGCGGCGGCCAUCCCUGCCUCGGGGGCCCUCUCGGGUUCCGCGUUUUCCAGGCCUGCUCUGGGUCCCUCCGCCCCAGCCCUGCGGACCUUCGCGGCCGCCGCCUGCCCUCUCCCACCUCGAAGGCCACGAACGCGGGUCGGGGGAGGGCGGCCUGGCUGUCGUACUGUGGGGCUGCGGACCCGGCGGCAAUACGGACGAGGCCUCUGCGCCUGCGCAAGAGGCGCCUCCAUUCCCGCCGGGCUGGGAACCCAAGCCGUAGACUUCAGUUCCGAGGCCAAACUCUCCCGGCCGUCCUCUCUGUCUCUGACCCUGAUGGGAAAGAGCAGCCGGCAGGACAGACAGACCUUCAGGUCACUGUUCCGACUGCUGGCUGGAAAAAGCAGGUUGAACUCUCGGGCAAGUGGUAGCUCCUGAAAAGCUAGAGUGAUCAACCAUCCUGGUUUUCCCAGGCCCGAGGAGUUUCCUGUGAUGUGGGACUUUCAUUGCUAAAACCAAGAUAGUCCCAGGCAAAGCGGUAUGGCUGGUCACCCUACGUUUUGCCCUGAGGCUGCCGUCGUGCUUGAGGAUGAGAGAUCCUGGGGAGGGAAUGGCCCAGUCAUCAUCCGGCACCACCAGCAUUUGGCUCUUCCAGCCCUAGACUGCUUGCCAGAUGAUAGCAGCCAUGUGAGUUAAUUCAGGACAGUGUCUAAAGCCUAGACAUGGCUGACAGCGUUCUCGGAAUGGAGCCUCUGCCUCCCACUUCAGCCCCAUCUCCUGCUCUGUGCCCUGCCUUUCACCGCCUAAGCUCCAGCGGUACUGCAUCAUCUUCAAUUUCUAGAAAACACCAAGCAAUUUCCUGCCUGGGACUUUGUUCAUAUAGCCUCCUCUGCCUUGAACACCUUGCUCCACUCCC
rnacentral:lncRNA from 1 species